GCCCGGCUAGCUCAAUCGGUAGAGCGUGAGACUCUUAAGGAUAUCAAGAUCUCCGUCAUCUCAAGGUUGUGGGUUCGACCCCCACGUCGGGCU
rnacentral:tRNA from 1 species